CUCCUCCCUUUCAGCAUAUAUACUAAAACUACAAAGACAAGAGAAGAUUAGCAUGGCCCUGCACAAGGAUGACAUACAAAUUCAUGAAGUGUUUCAUAUUUAA